UGGGGAAUUUUGGACAAUGGGCGAAAGCCUGAUCCAGCCAUGCCGCGUGAGGGAAGAAGGCCUUCGGGUUGUAAAGCUCUUUUAGUCGGGAAGAAAGAGUUGCAAUGAAUAAUUGAGAUUUAUGACGGUACCGACAGAAAAAGCACCGUCUAACUACGGGCCAGCAGCCGCGGUAAUACGUAGGGGGCGAGCGUUAAUCGGAAUUACUGGGCGUAAAGGGUGCGCAGGCGGUCUUUCAAGUCAGAUGUGAAAGCCCCGGGCUUAACCUGAGAAUUGCGUUUGAUACUACAAGACUCGAGUGCAGCAGAGGGGAGUGGAAUUCCAUGUGUAGCAGUGAAAUUCGUAGAGAUGUGGAAGAACACCGAUGGCGAAGGCAGCUCCCUGGGUUGACACUGACGCUCAUGCACGAAAGCGUGGGGAGCAAACA
rnacentral:rRNA from 1 species